rnacentral:rRNA from 1 species
ACGAACGCUGGCGGCGUGCUUAACACAUGCAAGUCGAACGAAGAGCGACGGAAGCUUGCUUCUAUCAAUCUUAGUGGCGAACGGGUGAGUAACGCGUAAUCAACCUGCCCUUCAGAGGGGGACAACAGUUGGAAACGACCGCUAAUACCGCAUACGAUCUAACCUCGGCAUCGAGGAUAGAUGAAAGGUGGCCUCUACAUGUAAGCUAUCUGAAGGAGGGGAUUGCGUCUGAUUAGCUAGUUGGAGGGGUAACGGCCCACCAAGGCGAUGAUCAGUAGCCGGUCUGAGAGGAUGAACGGCCACAUUGGGACUGAGACACGGCCCAGACUCCUACGGGAGGCAGCAGUGGGGAAUCUUCCGCAAUGGACGAAAGUCUGACGGAGCAACGCCGCGUGAGUGAUGACGGCCUUCGGGUUGUAAAGCUCUGUUAAUCGGGACGAAAGGCCUUCUUGCGAAUAGUGAGAAGGAUUGACGGUACCGGAAUAGAAAGCCACGGCUAACUACGUG